rnacentral:misc_RNA from 1 species
UUUCCGUAGGUGAACCUGCGGAAGGAUCAUUAUCGAACAAAAAGUGAGGGGCAUGCAAGGGCUUUCGCUGACCAGAAAGGACUGCACGCCCGAGUGUGUCCUCUUGCAUAAUAGUCCAUCUCGCCUUUUGUGCAUCACCGCGUGGGCACCCUUCGGGAUCAUCUCGGAGGGGGGCUCGCGUUUUCACACACACCCCCCUUUUAAAAGUGUAGAAUGACCACAUUUAUGCAAUCAAUACAACUUUCAACAACGGAUCUCUUGGCUCUC